rnacentral:rRNA from 1 species
CCUACGGGAGGCAGCAGUGAGGAAUAUUGGUCAAUGGGCGAGAGCCUGAACCAGCCAAGUCGCGUGAGGGAGUACUGCCCUAUGGGUUGUAAACCUCUUUUGUCGGGGAGCAAAAGCUGGACGUGUCCGGCUGUGAGAGUACCCUAAGAAAAAGCAUCGGCUAACUUCGUGCCAGCAGCCGCGGUAAUUCGGGGGAUGCGAGCGUUUUCCGGAUUUAUGGGGUUUUAAGGGUGCGCAGGCGGGUUUUUAAGUCAGCGGUAAAAGGCUGGGGCUCAACCCCCGCCAGCCGUUGAAACUGGGGGUCUAGAGUGUGAGAGAGGUAUGCGGAAUGCGUGGUGUAGCGGUGAAAUGCAUAGAUAUCGCGCAGAACCCCGAUUGCGAAGGCAGCAUGCCGGUGCAAAACUGACGCUGAGGCACGAAAGCGUGGGUAUCGAACAGGAUUAGAUACCCUGGUAGUC